GUGGGGAAUAUUGGACAAUGGGCGCAAGCCUGAUCCAGCAAUGCCGCGUGGGUGAAGAAGGCCUUCGGGUUGUAAAGCCCUUUUGUACGGGAAGAAAUCAUUCGGGUUGAUACCCUGGGUGGAUGACGGUACCGUAAGAAUAAGCACCGGCUAACUUCGUGCCAGCAGCCGCGGUAAUACGAAGGGUGCAAGCGUUAAUCGGAAUUACUGGGCGUAAAGCGUGCGUAGGUGGUUGUUCAAGUCUGUCGUGAAAGCCCUGGGCUCAACCUGGGAAUGGCGAUGGAAACUGGGCGACUAGAGUGCGGUAGAGGAUGGCGGAAUUCCCGGUGUAGCGGUGAAAUGCGUAGAGAUCGGGAGGAACAUCCGUGGCGAAGGCGGCCAUCUGGACCAGCACUGACACUGAGGCACGAAAGCGUGGGGAGCAAACAGGAUUAGAUACCCCAGUAGUCC
rnacentral:rRNA from 1 species